rnacentral:rRNA from 1 species
GAUGAACGCUGGCGGCGUGCCUAAUACAUGCAAGUCGAGCGAAUGGAUUAAGAGCUUGCUCUUAUGAAGUUAGCGGCGGACGGGUGAGUAACACGUGGGUAACCUGCCCAUAAGACUGGGGUAACUCCGGGAAACCGGGGCUAAUACCGGAUAAUAUUUUGAACUGCAUGGUUCAAAAUUGAAAGGCGGCUUCGGCUGUCACUUAUGGAUGGACCCGCGUCGCAUUAGCUAGUUGGUGAGGUAACGGCUCACCAAGGCAACGAUGCGUAGCCGACCUGAGAGGGUGAUCGGCCACACUGGGACUGAGACACGGCCCAGACUCCUACGGGAGGCAGCAGUAGGGAAUCUUCCGCAAUGGACGAAAGUCUGACGGAGCAACGCCGCGUGAGUGAUGAAGGCUUUCGGGUCGUAAAACUCUGUUGUUAGGGAAGAACAAGUGCUGGUUGAAUAAGCUGGCACCUUGACGGUACCUAACCAGAAAGCCACGGCUAACUACGUGCCAGCCGCCGCGGUAA